rnacentral:rRNA from 1 species
UCGAAAGAUUGGCUAAUACCGCAUACGACCUGAGGGUGAAAGCGGGGGACCGAAAGGCCUCGCGCAGCAGGAGCGGCCGAUGUCUGAUUAGCUAGUUGGUGGGGUAAAGGCCCACCAAGGCGACGAUCAGUAGCUGGUCUGAGAGGACGAUCAGCCACACUGGGACUGAGACACGGCCCAGACUCCUACNGGAGGCANCAGUGGGGAAUUUUGGACAAUGGGGGCAACCCUGAUCCAGCAAUGCCGCGUGUGUGAAGAAGGCCUUCGGGUUGUAAAGCACUUUUGUCCGGAAAGAAAUCCCCUGGGAUAAUACCUCGGGGGGAUGACUGUACCNGAAGAAUAAGCACCGGCUAACUACGUGCCAUCAGCCGCGGUAAUACGUA